AUAUUCACAUGUAGUGAAGGUCGCUUAUAAACGAUCGCGUUAAGUUCAAUUCCUAGCAUGAGUGACAUGAUGCCAUAGUUGCAAGUGCUUUGUCAAUGCUUAUGAUUUUCAUUAAACGUAAUGAUAUUUGAUUGUAUCUCUAUUAUGAUGUCAUGUAGGCAACUUUAGAAGAAUGUUUUGGGUUGUCGAAUGAUGUCAUCCAAUCCAAUAAAACAAGGAAAAUCUGAGAGUUAAUUAGUGAUGUCACGAUUAAUUUGGAGCAUUGUCAUUCAUAAUUCAAUGAAGUAGUAACUGGAAAUCGAGUUAUUUGCAUACAUGUCAUGUGUGGAGAAAAAGCCUCUAGCUAUCCCAUCCAUCAUCUUAUUUCUCAAAUUUGUUUUACAAUAUGUCUAGUUUUUCAUACUUGUUUGUUUGUUUCAACUUCGUCCAAAACUCAAUCCCCCCUUUACUUUAGUGUGUCUAAUUAUUUAUAAUUUGUUUUAAUUCGUGUUUUUAAAUGUUUUUGAUUCAAGUAAAAGUUAAUUUUCGUCCAAAGUCAUUCCUAGUAUCUAGUUUAAGUUUAUUUAGUUGUUUUAAGUUGUUUUGAGUAUUUUAAGUUUGCUUUAAGUCUUGUGAGUCUUGUUAAGUAUUUUGAAGUUUAGUUUUAUGUUUUUGAGUCAGUUUAGAGGUUAUUAGCAAGCCCUCCUAAUCCCCGGUCCAGAACGAUCCCUACUUAUACUUGUACUACAAUUGUCAAAAGAGGGUUAAAUUUGUGUGUUAAGAUAAUUUUCGCAUCACCUAUUAUUACAAUAUAUUUACAACUCAUGCCACAACUCCCUAAUUAAGUCAAUAAAGGUUAUCAUAACUCACCCUAAUUAUGAUGAGCAACAAGCCCCUAUACUAUUAAUACAUUAUACCAACAAAUUUACCUAUAUUUUGUAGAUUAAAUAAUAAGUAUAUUUAUCUGAGAAAUAUUAAUAGUAUGCCUAAUAAGUAUAUUUUUAUGAGAAAUAUCGAUAAUAUGCCUACUAAUAGAGGCUUGGAAUGCAUGAUAAACAUGAAUGAAAUAUUAUACUAAUUUUCCUAUAUUUUGUAGAUUCAUUAAUGUAAAUAAUAAAAUAUACUUGGGUAAAUUACACAAAACUACCUCAACUAUUGGGUCAUUAACAGUUUCAUACCUCGUCUUUAAAAAGUUCAAUGUCAUACCUUAUCUUCGAAUUUGUUGCAAUUUCAUACCUUCCGUCAGUUGUCUGUUAAUUCCUCUGUUAAAUGCUGAUGUGGCUUAAGGCAGGGCCCACUUUCUAUUAAAAAAAUAAUUAAAUAUUAACU
rnacentral:lncRNA from 1 species